AGCAGCCGCGGUAAUUCCAGCUCCAAUAGCGUAUAUUAAAGUUGUUGCAGUUAAAAAGCUCGUAGUUGAACUUCAGGCCUGUCCAGACGGUCCGCCUUAAUUGGUGUGUACUGUCCUUGGGUGGGUCCUACCUUCUGGCGAAGCGGCAUGGCCUUAAUUGGUUGUGUUGGGGAACCAGGACUUUUUACUGUGAAAAAAUUAGAGUGUUCAAAGCAGGCAAAUAUGCUCGAAUACAUUAGCAUGGAAUAAUGGAAUAGGACGAUGGUUCUAUUUUGUUGGUUCUAGGACCGUUGUAAUGAUUAAUAGGGAUAGUUGGGGGCAUUAGUAUUCAAUUGUCAGAGGUGAAAUUCUUGGAUUUAUUGAAGACUAACUACUGCGAAAGCAUUUGCCAAGGAUGUUUUCAUUAAUCAAGAACGAAAGUUAGGGGAUCGAAGACGAUCAGAUACCGUC
rnacentral:rRNA from 1 species